AAACUUGAAGACUGUUCAGUACAUUUUCAGAGGAGUGCAACAAAUGUAAGGAGGUCAAUGUGCUGGAAAAAUGCUAAAGCUACUUUAAUUCUUGGAUUUGUGAUACUUUUGUUGCUUGGAAUCAUAGUUGGAGUCAUUGUAGGAUUAGUCUAUAACGAUGACAACAAAACUCAUUCAACAACUCCAGUCCCACACAUAACUACAUAUGUUCUGUCAAAUGUUUCUUAAACUACAAGAAAAAUACUUACUGUAUCCUCCCCAACUACCAUGGCAAGUCUCUUUCUCUAAUUAACAAUAUAUGAAAGGAGAAAAGUAAAAGACCAACCUACAUUCCCUAUUCCAUUUAAUUUGUGGAAAUAGAAAAAUAUUUUCUGAAGUGUUCACAAACUUCCAGUAAUUUCUGUUCUUUAAAAACAAAUGAUUGCAUAUGCUUUUCAUUGUGAUGUAAUCAAGAUUACCUGUUUGGAUAGACUUUGUCUACUAUAAACUAUCUGCCUUAUGUUGAACUUAAUUAAAAAAUGUAAUUAUUUUAUCAAUUGAUUUUUAAAUUUUUUUAAUAUAAUUUUUUUUUUACUUGUUUUGGAUUUUCUUUCUAUACCAAUAUUUUAUUUUAUUUGCAAUUGGAGAAUUAUAUUUUUUAUACAAUCCUAAAAAAAAGAUAAUAUCAUUUAAGUAAAUCACACACAAUUUUUUCUGUUUUUGGUUCAUUUAACCAGCUUAAUUUGAUGUUAUCACUAUCAAUAUACAUGGAUGUUUGCAUGUGUGAAUGCUACAUAUAGGUAUUUACAUGUGUAAAUGCUACAUGUAGGUGUAUAUAUCUGUAAAUGCUCAGUUAUUUUCAAAUGUUGUCUUUGUAUAUUUGUAUUUUUACUUAGUGAAAAUCUAAUACAUUUGUGGAACUUUUUAUCUGGCUUUUCAACAUGUGAAAUGCUCCAAAAGUAAGAUAUGUUUAUUGAGUAAGAAGUGAGGAAAAUGUUGUUGUUUUGGCUUGAGUUUCAGUUGUGGGAGAGAAUUUCAGUUAUGAAUGGGUAAAGAUUAAGAAAAUAUGUCCAGUGCAAGGUUUGAGACAAAAUAGUGGUGUUGAUAGAUGCUGGUAUGUAAGGUGGAUUUGGUGGAAGUGUUAUGUUUGUUAGCAGAAUAGAAAUUGUUAUGGCAGAAAUAUAGAACAUUUGUGGCUGUCAUAUGUUGAGUUUUUACAUUUAACUGUCCCCGGCGGGAGACAUAUUGAGACCCUGAGGCACAGAAGAGUUUGUUGAAUAUUGGUCAAAGAUCUGUGUUAAUGCUUCCUACGACAGAACUGUGUGAUCUGACAAUAUAACUUCCAGUCCAAGAUUAUGAGAUACACAUUCUGCAGCCUGGCAACUUAGCUAUGAAGUUCUCAGACUGAGGCACAGUCAAAGAUUUGUUGCCAAGGAUAAAAUUUUGGUCAAAGUUCUCAAGGAACAAUGAGGUAGAUGAACGAGCCUCAAUGGAUCUGGUUGUUAGUGAGAAAGGAAGAGAUUCAUAGUGAUAAAAGCAAGUUUAUAACUUUCUGUCAACUUUGUGAUUUUCAAGUGUAUUAUUUAAAAUACAUUAUCUUUCUGACUUGAUAUUUGCUUAUUGCAAAGUCAUGUAUUGUCUUUGUUUUCAAACCAGUUAAAAUGUUUUCAACCAAAUGUAUUUACCCAGUUAUUUAUACUCAGUUUCCAAUCCAUGUAACCUAAAAGGCCAUCAGAAACAGACAUGACAGACAAAUGGUUUCAUGCACAUCUUUUGUAAUAUAUAUGUGUUGUCUCUUGAAAAACCAAUUAGACUUUUGUUUGUUGUUUUUCUUUUUAACUUACACAGCUUAAUAAAUAAACUCAUUUAUACAUAAACCUUCAUUACAUUGUACAAGAUCAAACAAAUCUCAUGUGAUAUUUAGCUUGAUAUUUUUAUGAUUAUUGAAUUUAUCUUCCAAUUCAUUGUUUAAUCAUGGACUAUGAACUGGUUAUUCCUGACAGUAACCUUUUUUUUCUUUUCCUUUCCUCCAUUAACAGAGACUUGAUGAUGUUAAAAUAACAUUGUAUUUUCAUAGUAAAUUUUCUGUGAAACUUG